UCCUCCCCGCGGGGCGGGAACUGCGCAGCGCGGGACGGGACGCGGCGCCGGGAGGCUCCGGUUCAGCUGGUAACGGGUGAAGUUUCCAGUACGUACAAGCAGAAAUACCUUUCUACUCCAGAUACCGACGCAGCGCACUGCGGAUUGUAGGAAGAACUAAUUCUGCAUCUACCAGAAAAAACAGGGACGGUCACAACAGAGAAGCAGCAACAGAAGACCAGAAACAGAGCUUUCAUUGGAGUGAUGGGAGGAUGGUCUCCUGCAUCAUGGCCUUUUCUUGGACGAUUGAUGCCUUCUGAUAGCAAUGCUUUUACCUGGGUGAAGGAAGAGAGAGAAAACAGGCUGAAGUGGAUAGCAGGUCUCUAUUAUCAGAACAGUGACCACCAUAAAAUCUGUCUUGUGGGAAAUAAGAAGUCUGUCUGGAGAGUUCUGAACUGUAUUUCUCAGCAAGUUUAGCAAUGAAGACUUCCUGUCAUGAACGAUGACCAUUUCCAAAGUCAAUAUUAAGA